rnacentral:rRNA from 1 species
ACUCAAAGGAAUUGACGGGGGCCCGCACAAGCGGUGGAGCAUAUGGCUUAAUUCGAUGCAACGCGAAGAACCUUACCAGGGCUUGACAUGGAGCUGCAAGCCGCCGAAAAGCGGUCGCUUUCGAAGGUGCUUCACAGGUGGUGCAUGGCUGUCGUCAGCUCGUGUUGUGAAAUGUUGGGUUAAGUCCCGCAACGAGCGCAACCCUCAUGUUCUGUUACCAGCGGAUAAUGCCGGGGACUCGGAACAAACUGCCUCUGUAAAGAGGAGGAAGGUGGGGAUGACGUCAAGUCAUCAUGCCCCUUACGCCCUGGGCUGCACAUAUGCUACAAUGGCUGAUACAAAGAGUUGCUAAACCGCGAGGUCAUGCAAAUCUCAAAAAGUCAGUCUCAGUUCGGAUUGGAGUCUGCAACUCGACUCCAUGAAGUCGGAAUCGCUAGUAAACGCCGGUCAGCAAUACGGCGUUGAAUACGUUCCCGGGCCUUGCACACACCGCCCGU